ensembl:lncRNA
UGGACUCAGCACACAGGCAUGUGAAAGUGGCAGGGGGAGCCUUUUAGGUAAUGUCUAGGAAUAGCUGGCUUCAAUUCGAGAUUUUGUGGAAAGAGCAAAGUGGGGGAUAGAAAUUUCUGGAAAGGGCAACGGGAUGUGAGCAGAAGUGAGGUAAGCAACAUUUGGCUUACUUCCUGAAAGAUAAUUUCCUUCUACAGACUUUCUUCGUUCUCCAGUGUAGAGAUACAGCAACAGCUGGCAUAGCUGGAACCUUGGAGCAAGAGACGGCAGCUCGUCGCUGAGUUCAGCAGUGUCCACUUGCCUGACUGAAAGCCUGGAUUAUCUCAGGAAUCAGAGCCAUUUGCCAGAAGUUUAUGGACAUGGAAACUCUGAGAACACCUGCUGCAGGUCCAGGCCAGUAGGCGCUUUAGGAAACUCCUCAGUGAGGCGGCCAGGAUCACGGUGUGGAAGACGACAAAGGGUAGAAGAGAAGUUAUUGACAGAUAUUCACAGAGAUAGCAGGAUAUUUUGCAAACAAAGAAAAUUUUCUGGAGUCAGUAGUUUAUGCCAAAUCUCUUCCUAAGCGUGCCUGAGUGGGUGUUGCAACUGACUCCCGAAGGAAACAGAGAAGCUAAAGGCCUCUUCCAUGAGGUCAUAAUAGUGGAGGUGAAUGUGGGCAAGCCAGAUGGAGUUUCAGUGUUCUAAUGUGUAUGAAAUAAACACUGAGUUUCCAAGUGUUUGAUACUAUAUUCUUAUUAAAACUUAA